rnacentral:rRNA from 1 species
AUCAUUCAGUUGGGCACUCUAGCGAGACUGCCGGUAAUAAACCGGAGGAAGGUGGGGAUGACGUCAAAUCAUCAUGCCCUUAUGACCUGGGCUACACACGUGCUACAAUGGUUGGUACAACGAGUUGCGAGUCGGUGACGGCGAGCUAAUCUCUUAAAGCCAAUCUCAGUUCGGAUUGUAGGCUGCAACUCGCCUACAUGAAGUCGGAAUCGCUAGUAAUCGCGGAUCAGCACGCCGCGGUGAAUACGUUCCCGGGCCUU